AUACAUUUCUUUUAAUGGUCCUCUUUCAAAUUUUGGGACCGUAAUUAGAUACGUGUCGAUUUUUCUAUUCUUUAAAAUUGGCCCUGGUUUAAAGGUGUCAUUCCUUUGUGUAUUUAUUUUUAAUAGAAGAAUGAGUGAUUUGUUCGAUCUCUAAGGUAUUAUGGCCUUACUAUUCUAUUCUCGAGGGCUAACGGCUCAAGCAAAACUAUAAGCUUGAAAAAUUGUACAAGUUAUGAAAGAAAUGAAGAUGGAACAUUAUUAGGGCAAUAUUUCAGCCGAGCCGGCCAUUUUUAUAUGUAGCCCUCUCCCCAGGCGCGGCGCUCUAUCAGGUUAGGGUUCUUCAGGCGGCUUCAGAUUAGCAGAACCAGAAAAUGGGUUAGAAGAAAAAAUAUCAGAGGAGUUCAUGGUACAAAGAGGGUGCAGGUAGAGCACGUGUAUAUACAGAAACCCUAGUGGGGAAGAAGACAACACAGAAGCAAUAUGAUAGGUCAAAAAACCCUAAAUUUGUGCUGUAGGUGCCUGCAGCUAAGCUAAUUCCACCUUAUAGGAUGGGGGACCAAAUAUGGUGUGCCCGGGCCACCAUAAGGUUCAAAAUUUUGUGGCCGUGGGUCGAAUAGUACACUGAGAAACAUAUACUCCUCUUCUUUCCCACAAUUCAUUAAUUUUGACUGCAAAUAUGCUCUGUAGUCUGUACUAUCCGUUCGGGUCUCAAAGAGGCGAAUUCAAAAUUUAGACAUAGUUAAAAGUAUAUGCACGUUAGUUGAAGAUGCCUGUUUUAUUAAAUACCCAUUUAACUGAUGUAUACCAACAUAAAAAUGUAAAUAGAAUGGCAUAAUGGGAUGAAGCUUACUUA